GAUAUUUAAAAAAUAUAUAAGAUUAGGAACAAUUCUUCGAUAUUUUUACUCAAAAAUUUGUAUGGUGCAGUAGGACCGUAAAGGAUCUUAUUAUGCACGCGCACGCCGGACGUUGCCGUUCGAUUACCCGACGAUAAUUAGAAACGCAACGCAACUUCGAGCGGAAUGCGGAAUGCCUGCACGUCACUAUCAUAAGUGUCAUAUCAUGUCACUACGUCAGGAAGAAAGAUUGGUUAUGUUUCUGGAAUUUACCGAAUUAUUGUGGCUGGUGUUUUUUUCCUACUUCCUACUUGUAAGUUGUGAUAAAAGUGAUUUGUGAUAAACUAGUAUUUAGCAUAAUUUAGCAGGAUUUAGAAGAAGAAAUUGAUCUUGCGGAUCAUGCCGCCUGCGUCUAAACAAAAAAGUGGAUGUUGGAUGUAUUUCAACAAGGUAAAUACAUCGUCUGUAUCUUGCAAAAAAUGUUUGAAGGUCAUAAAAACAGCUGGAAAUACAUCGAAUAUGCUUAAACAUUUAAAGGUACAUGGAAUCAAUAUUAAAGAUACAAAAUCUGCAAAAGGAAGAGGUGUUGAUUGCCAAGUAAGCACAUUAUCUCAAGUUCCUUCAAACGGUACUGCCGAGAAUGAGGAACAAAAUAACACCAAUGACUUUUAUAGCAAUUCACAACCUUCCACAAGUAGUGAACAAAGUUCAGAGCUAUGCCGUGGACCAAGGCCACCAUCAAGCUUUUCUGAUACCAGUAGUGUAACUGAACAUCCGAUUUUAAAAUCUUUUCGAUCUGUUUCUUCUUAUAGUGAAGGAGGUUCUCGCCAUAGUGAAAUAACAAAUGCAAUCAUGUUCUUUAUAUGUGCAGACAACAGACCUUUUUAUGCCAUUGAAGGAAGGGGAUUUAAAAAGCUAAUGAAGAAUAUAGCGCCUUUAUAUAAGGUUCCAAGUAGAGAGUAUAUUAAAGCUAAAAUUGAUUCUAAAUAUGAAGUAAUGUUUUCAGUGUACAAAGAAAGAAUGAGGUCAGU